UAGCUUGCUAGAAGAUGACGAGCGGCGGACGGGUGAGUAAUACUUAGGAAUCUACCUAGUAGUGGGGGAUAGCACGGGGAAACUCGUAUUAAUACCGCAUACGACCUACGGGAGAAAGGGGGCAGUUUACUGCUCUCGCUAUUAGAUGAGCCUAAGUCGGAUUAGCUAGAUGGUGGGGUAAAGGCCUACCAUGGCGACGAUCUGUAGCUGGUCUGAGAGGAUGAUCAGCCACACCGGGACUGAGACACGGCCCGGACUCCUACGGGAGGCAGCAGUGGGGAAUAUUGGACAAUGGGGGAAACCCUGAUCCAGCCAUGCCGCGUGUGUGAAGAAGGCCUUUUGGUUGUAAAGCACUUUAAGCAGUGAAGAAGACUCUUCGGUUAAUACCCGGAGACGAUGACAUUAGCUGCAGAAUAAGCACCGGCUAACUCUGUGCCAGCAGCCGCGGUAAUACAGAGGGUGCAAGCGUUAAUCGGAAUUACUGGGCGUAAAGGGAGCGUAGGUGGCUCGAUAAGUCAGAUGUGAAAUCCCCGGGCUCAACCUGGGAACUGCAUCUGAUACUGUUGAGCUAGAGUAUGUGAGAGGAAGGUAGAAUUCCAGGUGUAGCGGUGAAAUGCGUAGAGAUCUGGAGGAAUACCGAUGGCGAAGGCAGCCUUCUGGCAUAAUACUGACACUGAGGCUCGAAAGCGUGGGUAGCAAACAGGAUUAGAUACCCUGGUAGUCCACGCCGUAAACGAUGUCUACUAGUCGUUGGGUCCCUUGAGGACUUAGUGACGCAGCUAACGCAAUAAGUAGACCGCCUGGGGAGUACGGCCGCAAGGUUAAAACUCAAAUGAAUUGACGGGGGCCCGCACAAGCGGUGGAGCAUGUGGUUUAAUUCGAUGCAACGCGAAGAACCUUACCUGGUCUUGACAUAUCUAGAAUCCUGCAGAGAUGCGGGAGUGCCUUCGGGAAUUAGAAUACAGGUGCUGCAUGGCUGUCGUCAGCUCGUGUCGUGAGAUGUUGGGUUAAGUCCCGCAACGAGCGCAACCCUUGUCCUUAGUUACCAGCGGGUUAAGCCGGGAACUCUAAGGAUACUGCCAGUGACAAACUGGAGGAAGGCGGGGACGACGUCAAGUCAUCAUGGCCCUUACGACCAGGGCUACACACGUGCUACAAUGGUAGGUACAGAGGGCAGCUACACAGCGAUGUGAUGCGAAUCUCAAAAAGCCUAUCGUAGUCCAGAUUGGAGUCUGCAACUCGACUCCAUGAAGUAGGAAUCGCUAGUAAUCGCGGAUCAGAAUGCCGCGGUGAAUACGUUCCCGGGCCUUGUACACACCGCCCGUCACACCAUGGGAGUUG
rnacentral:rRNA from 1 species